AAACACUUGAUACUAGCCAAACUGUGUCCUAAGCCUUGAGAAAAGGCUUGUGAUAUGUGAUACCUGGGUUUAAAAAAUGUAAUAUUAAAACAAAAGCCAUACGUUCUUAAAUCCAGGUGUAAAGACACACUGAGGGGUUGGAGCAAUAGCACAGAG